rfam:Pseudomonas putida S11 PPS11_c30, whole genome shotgun sequence.
GGCCCAUAAAUUGCUGUUUCACCUCCAUCCAGGGCUAUCAACGUCGACAGCCCACAAAACCUUCACGACAAAAGGCGCCGU